GACGAACGCUGGCGGCGUGCCUAAUACAUGCAAGUAGAACGCUGAAGGAGGAGCUUGCUUCUCUGGAUGAGUUGCGAACGGGUGAGUAACGCGUAGGUAACCUGCCUGGUAGCGGGGGAUAACUAUUGGAAACGAUAGCUAAUACCGCAUAAGAGUAGAUGUUGCAUGACAUUUGCUUAAAAGGUGCAAUUGCAUCACUACCAGAUGGACCUGCGUGGUAUUAGCUAGUUGGUGAGGUAACGGCUCACCAAGGCAACGAUGCAUAGCCGACCUGAGAGGGUGAUCGGCCACACUGGGACUGAGACACGGCCCAGACUCAUACGGGAGGCAGCAGUAGGGAAUCUGCGGCAAUGGACGGAAGUCAGACCGAGCAACGCCGCGUGAGGGAAGAAGGUUGUCGGAUCGGAAAGCUCUGUUGUAAGAGAAGAACGAGUGUGAGAGUGGAAAGUUCACACUGUGACGGUAUCUGACCAGAAAGGAACGGCUAACUACGUG
rnacentral:rRNA from 1 species